GGGGAAUAUUGGACAAUGGGGGAAACCCUGAUCCAGCGAUGCCGCGUGGAGGAAGAAGGCCUUUGGGUUGUAAACUCCUGUCAUAGGGGAAGAAUGCAUAUCAAUUAAUAAUUUUUAUGUUUGACGGUACCCUAGGAGGAAGCACCGGCUAACUCUGUGCCAGCAGCCGCGGUAAUACGGAGGGUGCAAGCGUUGUUCGGAAUCAUUGGGCGUAAAGCGUGUCUAGGUUGGAUGAUAAGUCAGGUGUGAAAGAUCCGAGCUUAACUUGGAAAUUGCGCUUGAUACUGUUGUGCUUGAGUUAUGGAGGGGUGGGCGGAAUUCCUGGUGUAGCAGUGAAAUGCGUAGAUAUCAGGAGGAACACCGGAGGCGAAGGCGGCUCACUGGCCAUAUACUGACACUCAAACACGAAAGCAUGGGGAUCAAAC
rnacentral:rRNA from 1 species